CGCCCCUCGGAAAGUUGAGGCUAAUAUGUGAGGGGUCCUGCCUGCCCGGUGACUUAGUUAAACGGCCGCGGUAUCUUGACCGUGCAAAGGUAGCAUAAUCAUUUGCCUUUUAAAUGGAGGCUGGUAUGAAUGGCAAGACGGGAAUUAGACUGUCUCUUUCUUGUUUCUCUAAUUUAAUUUCUCCGUGAAGAAGCGGAGAUAUAGUCGUGGGACGAGAAGACCCUGUCGAGCUUUAAUAGACCCAGGCAGGCGAUUGGCGGUCAAAUUGCUGCUAAUUUGCCUAUUGUAGGAUAUUAGUUUUACGAAGUAGGGGGCUGCGUCUUGUAUGGGCUGUUUUGGUUGGGGCAACCGCGGAGAAGAGUUAUCCUCCGCUAAGCUGACUAGGAAAGAUUACAAUCUUCUUGUGCGAUUUUCGCUUUCUGUGAUCCGCCAUAAACUGACGAUCAAAGGAAUAAGUUACCGCAGGGAUAACAGCGUUAUUUCCUUGGAGAGUUCAUAUUGAUAAGGGAGUUUGCGACCUCGAUGUUGGAUCGGGAUUUCCUGGGGGUGCAGCAGCUCCUAAGGGUUGGUCUGUUCGACCAUUAAAAUCCUACG
rnacentral:rRNA from 1 species